rnacentral:rRNA from 1 species
GAUAAACGCUGGCGGCGCACAUAAGACAUGCAAGUCGAACGAACAGAAGUCAUUCUUAUAGAUUGAUGGAAGUUAGUGGCGGACUGGUGAGUAAAGUAUAAGUAACCUGCCUAUCAGAGGGGAACAACAGUUGGAAACGACUGCUAAUACCGCAUAUGCCAUAGAGACCACAUGGUUUCAGUGGGAAAGGAGAAAUCCGCUGAUAGAUGGACUUAUAUCUGAUUAGCUAGUUGGUGGGGUAAAGGCCUACCAAGGCGACGAUCAGUAGCCGGACUGAGAGGUUAAACGGCCACAUUGGGACUGAGAUACGGCCCAG